CAGUGUAAAGUGAAUUUAAAUAGCAAACAAAGAACUAAAUUUCUCUUCACAGUCGUUGACGCUGAAGUUGUAGAAUGGGUAUCCCCGAGGCGAAUUAGCGCUUUAACUUCAGUAUUACUUGUUACUCAGAAUUCAGUAUAGUAUUUCUGAGCUGUUGGAAUAAUUUGGGUUGUGUUCUCUUACCGCGCUGGGCAGGGUGGGUGCAGGAGCCUCAGGUGGGUCUUGUCAGAGGAAUUGAGGCCUUUUGGCUGAGCCCAGGGAUUUAUGCCGACCCGAGGAGCAUAAAUCAAUUGAGUCUGCAACAAUCCUUUUAGUUUCACCUUUUCUUUUGAAAAAUGGUGUCAUUGGUAGUUGUUAAUCCUUUUGUAUGCUGUAAGACGGAACCAGAAGGCAAAAGGAUCCCCUUUUUAUAUGUACGUGAUCAUUACCUGUGAAACUAACACAGCUGUGGAGCUCACAACUGAAAAUCACAUCCUUGACUUCAAGUUUUAGUGACUAUGAUUCUGUCCUCUUCUAUUAGAGCCAAUAAGGAAAAACCUGAUUUAAUGGAUUCAGCAUUUCUGCCUUGUAUAUACUUCGUAAAUCCCUUCAGUUGGGGUCAGUGUUUAGACGCUGAGGUAGUGAGAGAACUCUAAAACGUGAAGGUGCCAACAAUGCAUAGACAUAAAUUUAGUCAUAUAAGCGAGAAAAACAUGAGAAUGUCUCAACUUUCUCCUUGAGCAUGAAACGGGUGGACAUUUCUCUGUUAAUAGGAAGCAUUGUUUUAUUUUCUAGGUCAGGACAGAGUGUUCAUCAAAGGUGGAGGUUACUGUGAGGGCAAGCGUGUCAAUGGAGAAAUUAUGGGGAAUGGAUUUCAGUACUGGGCAUCCACAGGGGCAGUGGAGAAAUGACGUAUUCAAUGAGUGGGGAGCUAUAGUUAAUUGUUCUGGUGACAUCUGUGAUGGACUGUGGAUCAAUGGCUCCCCUGUUGUGUUUCGCAUCCUCUGAGUACUCAUUUCUCCUGGAAUGCGUAGUUCUCUGGACAAGGGGAUGACUAUUUGACUGAGACCUUUCUUCAGGGAGGGAGCUGUUCUCUCAAAUUAAACAUGAAGGUAGACUGAGCCUGUGGAAGUUCUGGAGGAAACUGUGGUGGAGCAGAUGUCUCUGUGAAGAGGACCACAGUGGAACAGAUACUAACACUGCAGCCCAUGAAGAAGGACCCCAUGCCAGAGCAGGUGGAUAUUUCCUAAAGGAACUGCAGCCCAUGGGACAGGUUCUACUGACAGGAGCUGUGGCUUGUGGAGGGCUGAUGCUAGAGCAUGGUUAAAAUCUAUGAGCAGUUGUCAUUUGGAGAUCUGGGCUGGCACUGGAAACCACAAAGCCCCAUCAAGUUCUGCUACCAACCUCUUUGAGUUGAUUGAAGAAACUGAGAGGAAAACAGUUAACUUCUGUCAAUUCUGGAUUUCACUGGCUGAUUCACCAGUCCCUAAGACACAUAGGGCCAGAACCUGGAACUGAUACCAGUAUGAAGAUGGAAAUGCUUCAAGCAGUCAGCAUGAUCUCGCAUGACAACCAAAGAAUGCAAGCUACAAAAGGAUCAGCACCUCAAGGAAUUCUAAGGCAUUACAAGAGACAGCUUCCUUGGUUAGACAAAUCCAAACAUGGAAAUCAACUUUUUGCAAGCAUCAGGAUAAGUGGUAUUCUGAGAUUAGAAACUGACCCUGCUGAUAUCUUGGAGUCAGGAUGUGAAAACAAAUGACUUGUAACCCAGCAAAACUUUUGGUGAAAGAUCAGAACACAUUUUUGCAAGAUUUAUGGGCCAGUGUUGUGCUGGGCACCAUAAAUGGGAGUUGACAAACUACAGGACACGAGGUUUAAGCCAUUGACCUCUGACAUUAGGAGUCAUCACAACUCCAUACAAAUUGAAUUCCAAAUAGCAAAUUAGAAUGUCACUGUCAUCUCUGUAAGCAAACUACUGACAAUUUAGCCUAGGCAGAGGGAGAAAAGCAGCAGUGAGCUGAGGUGGAUACUUCUUUAGCCAAAUGCAGGAUUUCAGCAGGAUUUUCAGACAGUCCUCUCAUAGCCUGGUCAGAAGCAGAGAUGGGUUACUGGGGUUUGAAUAGCACAUAGCCUCUCUGGACACUGGUGUCAGUUGGAUGUCCUAGAUAUUGCUGUAUUAAAAGCAUAAAGUUAGGCUUAGUGCAAGAACAGAGAGACAAGGCAGAGGCAACAGAGACAGAUGUCUCUUCCUCAGAGCCCUUCUACUGGGUGAGACUGUUUCUGAUUACAGCUGUAGCCCUGUAAAUGCCUGCUAGAUGUCUGGUGAUAAUCCAUUCAAAGCAAUUACAAGGCAUCCGUCACCAGCAGGGUCUGAGCCACAGGCUUCUUAUCUGGGAAAAUUGAUGGAAGAGGGGAGUGAGGGAAGAAAUCAAUGCCUUUCACCAAUGUUAUCUGCCAAAUUGAAUUAAGCAGCAUGGGAUCCCUGCUUUACACAGUGCAAGAGCUGGAGCUUGAAGAGUCUGUUUGUAGUUAAGCUCAGUUCAUGGGCAAGGCAGGUAGGAGCUGAGGGUUCGUUCUCCUCACUGGCAAUUUCUUGGGCACCUACUAAUGUCAGUGGAACUUGUGUGUGCAAAAGGAGUUCAGAACUUAGCAGCACCCAGAGCCUUUAACCUGGUAGCACCACUUGUGACUCUUGUGUCUGCUCAUGGUCUUAAUGUAUCUUUUCAUGUUCUUUUACUUUUUUUCUGGGUAUAGCCAAGAGUAUCUCAUUGCUCGCCACAUCCCAGUUUAUACAGGCAAGGGCUGUAGAGAAAGCAACAGCAAAGAUAACACUAAUGGGUUCCCUGGAGGCAGUGCUAGCGAAACUAGUGUUUAGAAGUGGUGCACGUGCUGAGUCUGUUGGCAGCGCAGCCGUGCUGCGCAAGCAUGUGACCCAGUACUGAGAUGUACUGAGAGUUCAUGGCUCUUGAGGUCAGGAGGUUUUGGGUGGGGGUUUUAAUAUGCAAGGAAAUGCAGCUUAUUGCUGUGGGGUUUGGUGUUUUGCUUCCCUGAGUGUAUCUGCUUCUCAUUGCACUUGCCUUAUGGGUUGGAAGGAUAAAUUUCAGUUCUGUAUGUCUAACUGCGUACUCAUUUUGCCAAGCACUGUUGAAAUCCAGGAGCGAGGUUCAGGAGAGUUUAACAGAGUUGCCAGCUGCAAAACAACACUUUCCCUUCCUGGGUUUGCAAUUGACAUUUCAAAGGCCACCAGUAUAUUUAUGGAGCUGUUCAGUAGGUGCUUCCUGCAUGGUAUAUAAGCAAAUACGACUGUAGAUCCAUUUAGACAACAGCAGGGAGAUUGUCACUUAGGAUGCUACAAAACAGAAUCUAUUUGUACUGAUCAAACCAGUUUUGUCUGUGGGCUGUGUGGCCAACAGCUUGUUAGUGCUUGGUAUAGUACCUCGUUUUAGACCUUUGCCUCAUGAAGUAGGGGUUUAAUGCCAUUUUUUUGACAAAUAGCCAGCAAAGGAGUUCCUGCAGCUCCAGAGCAUCUACUGUUACUGGGUUUGGAAUGGAGUCCUGUUGACAGCCCAUGUGCCUGCUCUUGGUUUGUGAACUCAACAUUAUGGGUUUAUGAUUUUCUUCACAAAAGCAUAGUGAUAACUCAAACAUAAAGUCUUUAUAAUAUUUACAGAAAUGAGCAGAUUUUGGAACAAAUCUGACCUCCUUUCAAGGCAGUAAAACCUUGGUUUCUUUUUGCCCAUGUAGGUUCCCUCUUGUGUUGCAGGGUUUUUAUCCCGCCGUUGACGCGUAUGUGCAAUGAGAGAGUUCUCAUCUGGGGAGAGUGCUGGGGGCUGGAGGACCAGGACAACUUAGGCAGAAGAGGCUCUGGGGACCUAAAAGCAUAAAAUCCUCAAGGUUCUGGAUUGGAGCUGACUCGGCAGAUGCAAAAGUAAGUUGAAGCAGAUGAGCCAGACAACUUGUGGGUACUGGACAGAACAGUUCACCUAAACCAGGCCAGUGCAGAGAUCUGUGGAAACCUUCCGCCUCCCAAGUAAGUGUGUGUGGGAAUCUGCAUUGCAGUCAGGUGUGCUUAAAGUGCACAUAAGCCAUCUAAUAAAAAUUCCCCCAGAGUAUAUGUCACACAGCUGUGUUUCAUUGUAUUUGUGCUCUCUUCCUACUGACAGCGCCUUUGGAGCCACAUUACUCACAUCUCAUCAUCAGCUCUGACAUUCCUGGCUUUUUACUGCUUCCCUGGUUCCUAUCAUCUUCUGCAAGCUUUAUACCUUCCUUGCACAUUGGCCAAGGUGUAUUUCUGUAGUAUCUUUUCAACAAAUGAACAUGGGAGCAUGUAA